rnacentral:rRNA from 1 species
CCUACGGGAGGCAGCAGUGGGGAAUAUUGGACAAUGGGCGAAAGCCUGAUCCAGCAAUGCCGCGUGAGUGAUGAAGGCCUUAGGGUUGUAAAGCUCUUUUACCAGGGAUGAUAAUGACAGUACCUGGAGAAUAAGCUCCGGCUAACUCCGUGCCAGCAGCCGCGGUAAUACGGAGGGAGCUAGCGUUGUUCGGAAUUACUGGGCGUAAAGCGUGCGUAGGCGGCUAUUCAAGUCAGAGGUGAAAGCCCGGGGCUCAACCCCGGAACGGCCUUUGAAACUAGGUAGCUAGAAUCUUGGAGAGGUUAGUGGAAUUCCGAGUGUAGAGGUGAAAUUCGUAGAUAUUCGGAAGAACACCAGUGGCGAAGGCGACUAACUGGACAAGUAUUGACGCUGAGGUACGAAAGCGUGGGGAGCAAACAGGAUUAGAUACCCUGGUAGUCCACGCCGUAAACGAUGAUAACUAGCUGUCCGGGCACUUGGUGCUUGGGUGGCGCAGCUAACGCAUUAAGUUAUCCGCCUGGGGAGUACGGUCGCAAGAUUAAAACUCAAAGGAAUUGACGG